GACAGAGGCCUCAAGCGUUAGGCGGAAUCACUGGGCUUAAAGCGUGUGUAGGCGGAUCGUUAAGUGUCUUGUGAAAUCCCACGGCUCACCCGUGGAACUGCUGGGCAUACUGGCGAUCUUGGGCCAACUAGGGGCAGCCGGAACAAGCGGUGGAGCGGUGAAAUGCGUAGAGAUGUGGAGGAACACCGAUGGCGAAGGCAGCCCCCUGGGAUGAAACUGACGCUCAUGUACGAAAGCGUGGGGAGCAAACAGG
rnacentral:rRNA from 1 species